rnacentral:rRNA from 1 species
CAGCCAUGCCGCGUGUGUGAAGAAGGCCUUCGGGUUGUAAAGCACUUUCAGUCGUGAGGAAGGUAGUGUAGUUAAUAGCUGCAUUAUUUGACGUUAGCGACAGAAGAAGCACCGGCUAACUCCGUGCCAGCAGCCGCGGUAAUACGGAGGGUGCGAGCGUUAAUCGGAAUUACUGGGCGUAAAGCGCAUGCAGGUGGUUUGUUAAGUCAGAUGUGAAAGCCCGGGGCUCAACCUCGGAAUUGCAUUUGAAACUGGCAGACUAGAGUACUGUAGAGGGGGUAGAAUUUCAGGUGUAGCGGUGAAAAUGCGUAGAGAUCUGAAGGAAUACCGGUGGCGAAGGCGGCCCCCCUGGACAGAUACUGACACUCAGAUGCGAAAGCGUGGGGAGCAAACAGGAUUAGAUACCCUGGUAG